UAAAGCUGGCACUAACUUCGCCGACAAGCGGCGGUCGCUCGGUCAGUAUAGUUUGCUUACGGACAAAACCAGAGUUUUUUUUCUAUAUGUGAAGUAGCCGGCCGCCUCAACAGCCUUCUCACAAUUGCAGCGUGGAACUUUUCAUAUAUCUCUGAUGACAAGGUGCGAUGAAAACUUACUGACUAAUAACGGUCUUGUUCUCUUGCAGAACUUCCAAUGAACAAGGUUGUGGUGGGUAUAGGACCAGUGUCAAAUACGACUUCAGUUGGACCCAAGGUAGACUCUUGGAGCAAGAAUAUGCACCUCGUGCGAGAUGGGAGCGACUUCAAGAUAAUUAACGAGAAUCCCAUGCCGAAUACGACUUCAGUUGGCCCCAAGGUAGUCUUGGAACAAGAAUAUGCGCCUUGUGUGAGAUGGGAGCGACUUCAAGAUAAUUAACGAGAAGCCCAACUAUAAACACGUGAAGUCCAGGAUUGACCGUACGAAGAGGCCAUUCAGUCUAGAUCGUGACGAAAAUAAGAUUCUGGCAGGGUGAGUUGUGGCAUGGCUCAGAAAAACAUACCAGGUGUUGGCUAUCACCGUCAUGACGUGGAAGUAGAGGUCAACAGCUCCUCCGUUGGAAUGAGACCCCUACUUAAACUGAAGCCAGAGCUGUUGAGGCUGCUGUCCCCCUUGAGAGAGCAUCGCAUCCGUGAGCUGCUGGUUAUCUGAGAGGCCGUAAAGCAUUUCCGUUACAUGCUGGAAGCACACCGUAAGCCGUAUCACGUAUGCCUUCCAGUAGAAACAGCACAAAUGCUGACCGUGGACCUCCAACACGCUAGUCAGCAGCAGGUGCCCUUUACAUCGGGAGCGCAGACAAUAACAGCGAGGCUUUAGCAGCAACACCAUCAGCCGACACAAGAAAACCCUGCCGGUUGGCAGUUACACGGCUGCCGACGCUAGGAAGACCAGGCGACUCGUCGUCUGGCCACGUGCAGAGAAAAGGUCGCCCGGCUUGCAUGGAAGCAUGAUAUACGAAGGGUGAUGAAUCCCACGCAGCCAACAGUAAUGAAUCCAGCUGCCGUUCCGAGAUGUUGGGGAAUAUGCAGCGGUAGAGAGUUCGGUUCUGUCUGCAGAAAACCAAUGUAGCUGCUGCCAGUACCUCUGCAUGGCUGACAUUUCGUGGGUAUGCCGCAAGUCCCUGCACGACAUACCCAGUUUUCAAAAUAAUGAAGUAAAUUAAUUGCGCCUAGGAGUAUAGUCAAAGAAAAGUAUAUUCACAAACCACUGGAUAUAGAAUGAGUCACAUAUCAGAACAAAUGUGUUCCAGUUUUUUUUUAAAACCAUAUUGAUUAGGAUUUAGAAUAACAUAUUUUUUAAGAUGAUUCUUCUUUCAAGAGAGGCUUUAUUACGGAGUAUUUUAGUCUCUCUGGAAAUGAACCAGACUGUAUUAUUUUGUUAGAUUAUUUGUAACAUAUGGAUUUAUCAUACAAGAAUUGCUGAGAAUUUAAUUUACACUGAAAAGGGGAUGAAAAUAGAUUUACCUUAAUAACCCCUUUAAUUACGUUAUCUAUUAAAUGACAAGCAGAAUUACUUCAUUUAAUUUAAUUAUAUCUCGUUACAGGUGGUUUUUUAGAUCUUUCGGAUACUCUCACAUUACUUAAUAUUACUUCUGUUAACCUUACAGCAGCAAGGACCUCACUGUCCGUCAAAGAAAUGGGAUACUUAUUGUCCUUAAUCCAUGGUAGUGUAAUAUUAUUAUCCCGUCUAUUCAGCUGUUCAUCUAUAUACUGUCCAAUAAUUCUUAUCACUUUUUCUUUCCCUUUAGAAUUCAAGUGCAUCCCAUGAUGGGUAAAAUUUUCUUUAUCCAAAGAGAGGUCAAGCAAUUUUAUGUGUGGCAUAGUAUUAAUCAAUUUUCCUAAUUUUCUGUUAAGAGUCUGAAUUUCAUUGUUAAUACAAGAAGACUUUUCCUGAUCGUGUGUAUGCAGAGCGGGAACAAGUAUAAGAUUAGUAUAUUGGUGCUAUAAUGCAAAAUUAGUGAUGAGUUUUAAACCUUUGGAGGGUUCACUUUUAUUAAUAUCGUUGAUCCACCACAGAUGACACAAUCCUCACAAUUCAAUCCUCUAAUAUCCAUGUUGGCGGCUUUAGUUAUGUUCAGGAGUCCUGCACCAGGCAUCACAUUUUCCAUAUCCUCCAAAGAUUUGCCGUACUCGCGUAACAGAUUUGCAGCAAAACCUCUUGCAUAGCUAUCACCAAUUAUUAAAAUAUUAUUUGCUGCAGAUCGAGCCAGUGUCUGUAAUUGCUUAACCUUUGGUUUUUGAUUGAUAUUAUGAUAAUAAGGUGCUAAGUUUUCUUCUUUUAGGUACUCUAAAAUUGCACAACAAUUUACCACCGUUGGAAACUUAAAUUGUUGAUGUGAAACGGUGUCAAUUUUUUAAUGCCUUUUAUACUGAGAAACAAUUUUCCAGUUUGAUGAAGGAGAUACAUCACUACUUGCAUUAGUCACUGAAUUUAUUAAUAAUUAAUAUUGUCUACAUUAAGGGAUAAUUGUACUUGAUCUUCUAAAAUUUUCACUAUUUCCACCACCGAUUUCAAUUCACUAACAACCCUCUGCAAUUCGUCUUUCAAUUUUAGACAGCACAAGCAUGGUGAAUUAACAUUUUCCUUAAAAUUUUCCAUUUCUUACAGCGUACUUGCACUCAACACUCUCAGGAUCAGCCAUGUUUAGCUAUAAAACUCAUUUUUCCACGACCGUCUCGACCAAUCAGAGAGCCUAAACAUGCCAAUUUGAAUACCCACAAUUAUAUGCGGUAAUCUUGGUGCGUUAUAUGAAAAUUGUCUUCCUCAAAGAAGGGCGUGGCGAAUUGGUGAUCGCAGUGAGAGUCUGAUGCCGCCUGAGAGUUUGCGUGUUCAACCUUCUUGUGAUAAAAAGGGACACUACCCUGCUUAGUUCUUUGUGAUUUUCUCUAUAAUUAUUACUGUGAUUAAACUGGUAAAUUGAA